rnacentral:rRNA from 1 species
GACGAACGCUGGCGGCGUGCCUAAUACAUGCAAGUAGAACGCUGAAGAGAGGAGCUUGCUCUUCUUGGAUGAGUUGCGAACGGGUGAGUAACGCGUAGGUAACCUGCCUUGUAGCGGGGGAUAACUAUUGGAAACGAUAGCUAAUACCGCAUAACAAUGGAUGACACAUGUCAUUUAUUUGAAAGGGGCAAUUGCUCCACUACAAGAUGGACCUGUGUUGUAUUAGCUAGUAGGUGAGGUAAUGGCUCACCUAGGCGACGAUACAUAGCCGACCUGAGAGGGUGAUCGGCCACACUGGGACUGAGACACGGCCCAGACUCCUACGGGAGGCAGCAGUAGGGAAUCUUCGGCAAUAGGGGCAACCCUGACCGAGCAACGCCGCGUGAGUGAAGAAGGUUGUCGGAUCGUAAAGCUCUGUUGUAAGUCAAGAACGGGUGUGAGAGUGGAAAGUUCACACUGUGACGGUAGCUUACCAGAAAGGGACGGCUAACUACGUG